AGUGAACGCUGGCGGUAGGCCUAACACAUGCAAGUCGAACGGCAGCACAGUAAGAGCUUGCUCUUACGGGUGGCGAGUGGCGUACGGGUGAGGAAUACAUCGGAAUCUACUUUUUCGUGGGGAUAACGUAGGGAAACUUACGCUAAUACCGCAUACGACCUACGGGUGAAAGCAGGGGAUCUUCGGACCUUGCGCGAUUGAAUGAGCCGAUGUCGGAUUAGCUAGUUGGCGGGGUAAAGGCCCACCAAGGCGACGAUCCGUAGCUGGUCUGAGCGGAUGAUCAGCCACACUGGAACUGAGACACGGUCCAGACUCCUACGGGAGGCAGCAGUGGCGAAUAUUGGACAAUGGGCGCAAGCUUGAUCCAGCCAUACCGCGUGGGUGAAGAAGGCCUUCGGGUUGUAAAGCCCUUUUGUUGGGAAAGAAAAGCAGCAGGUUAAUACCCCGCUGUUCUGACGGUACCCAAAGAAUAAGCACCGGCUAACUUCGUG
rnacentral:rRNA from 1 species